rnacentral:rRNA from 1 species
GACGAACGCUGGCGGCGUGCCUAAUACAUGCAAGUCGAGCGGAAUGAUGAAGAAGCUUGCUUCUUCUGAUUUUAGCGGCGGACGGGUGAGUAACACGUGGGCAACCUACCUUGUAGAUUGGGAUAACUCCGGGAAACCGGGGCUAAUACCGAAUAAUCCAUUUCGCUUCAUGGCGGAAUGUUAAAAGGCGGCUUUUAGCUGUCACUGCAAGAUGGGCCCGCGGCGCAUUAGCUAGUUGGUAGGGUAACGGCCUACCAAGGCGACGAUGCGUAGCCGACCUGAGGGGGUGAUCGGCCACACUGGGACUGAGACACGGCCCAGACUCCUACGGGAGGCAGCAGUAGGGAAUCUUCCACAAUGGACGAAAGUCUGAUGGAGCAACGCCGCGUGAGUGAAGAAGGUUUUCGGAUCAUAAAACUCUGUUGUAAGGGAAGAACACGUACGAGAGUAACUGCUCGUACCUUGACGGUACCUUAUUAGAAAGCCACGGCUAACUACGUGCCAGCCGCCGCAGUAACAC